AAAUCAACUUGUGCAAAUAUUUGAACUUUUAAUAAUCAUCUUAUAUUUAAUAUAUCUUUUAAAAAUGAUUUUUUAAAAUCUAGUCUAAUGAUACAAUUUUUCUUCAGCAUCUUCGCUAGAAUUUUUUUAUAUUUACAGUAUUUGUUUGCUUGCUCACAUUGCUUUUUAUUGAAGAGAAAUUGAUACACUGGUACUUAGUGAACAUGUUCUUGAAAUUUAGGAUUGUGAAGUUCUGAAAUAAUCACUCAUACAGGUUUUACUUAUCAAACAAUGUUUCCGUUAUAUUUUAUACGGAACACGUACAUUAAUUUGUCGAUUUUUGGAUUGAAUCAACGGAUCAGCAUCAUGUUAUCAUAUGAAAUGCUUAUUUAAUUUUUUGUCUUUGCAGAUGUUUGUAGCGGUUGCUGGCUGAAGACAUAUACAAGGAACAUAUUAGAAACGAAAGUGUACUGAAACUCUACAACCUAUGGGAUGCAGCAUAUUACUUUAUGAAGCGGAUCUCUACAUUUGAAAUAUAGAACCAUGUAAUAAUAAGUAGGACGAAAUGCUUCGAAUGGGAUUUGGAAGACUAAGGAAGUUUUCACAAAAGCAUGGUAUAAGUGAUACGAAUAUGAAUAUUUGAUAUGAAAGUACAAAAAUACAACGUACAAUGAAUUACUCUUAUUAUUGUACGAAAAUUACGAAUCUGAAUCUCUUCUACUUAAGAAUCCUCUUCCUCUUUUCACAUACAUGCUUCUGCAAUCGAAGAUGGCUUGCCGAUAGGCAUGUUUGUAAAUAUCUCGUUUACUUUUUCUUAAAAUAUUAUUAUUAUGGUGUCAAUAAAUAUCAAGUAUCGAGUUGAAGUGCUGAGAAUUCUACUACUGAUCUACCAAUGCGUAAUGGAGUUUAACUUGUAAAUUAAUUAUAUCAGUUUUUAUGCUUAAAAACACAUCUGCGAAAAAUGGCUUAUUCCAAUGGCAAAAUAAAACUUGUUACCUGUUAAAA